AGUGAACGCUGGCGGCAGGCCUAACACAUGCAAGUCGAACGGCAGCACAGUAAGAGCUUGCUCUUACGGGUGGCGAGUGGCGGACGGGUGAGGAAUACAUCGGAAUCUACUUUUUCGUGGGGGAUAACGUAGGGAAACUUACGCUAAUACCGCAUACGAUCUACGGGUGAAAGCAGUGGAUCUUCGCACCUUGCGCGAUUGAAUGAGCCGAUGUCGGAUUAGCUAGUUGGCGGGGUAAAGGCCCACCAAGGCGACGAUCCGUAGCUGGUCUGAGAGGGUGAUCAGCCACACUGGAACUGAGACACGGUCCCGACUCCUACGGGAGGCAGCAGUGGGGAAUAUUGGGCAAUGGGCGCAAGCCUGAUCCAGCCAUACCGCGUGGGUGAAGAAGGCCUUCGGGUUGUAAAGCCCUUUUGUUGGGAAAGAAAAGCAGCAGGUUAAUACCCCGCUGUUCUGACGGUACCCAAAGAAUAAGCACCGGCUAACUUCGUG
rnacentral:rRNA from 1 species